CCUACGGGCGGCAGCAGUGGGGAAUAUUGCACAAUGGGCGCAAGCCUGAUGCAGCCAUGCCGCGUGUGUGAAGAAGGCCUUCGGGUUGUAAAGCACUUUCAGCGGGGAGGAAGGCGUUAAGGUUAAUAACCUUGGCGAUUGACGUUACCCGCAGAAGAAGCACCGGCUAACUCCGUGCCAGCAGCCGCGGUAAUACGGAGGGUGCAAGCGUUAAUCGGAAUUACUGGGCGUAAAGCGCACGCAGGCGGUCUGUCAAGUCGGAUGUGAAAUCCCCGGGCUCAACCUGGGAACUGCAUUCGAAACUGGCAGGCUAGAGUCUUGUAGAGGGGGGUAGAUUUCCAGGUGUAGCGGUGAAAUGCGUAGAGAUCUGGAGGAAUACCGGUGGCGAAGGCGGCCCCCUGGACAAAGACUGACGCUCAGGUGCGAAAGCGUGGGGAGCAACCAGGAUUAGAUCCCUUGUAGUC
rnacentral:rRNA from 1 species